AUUAUUUUCAAGUAGUAAGUUAAGAUACUUGAAAUUACUGAUACUAACUAGUUGUUGUUGUAAUUAGAUGUACCUAAGAUCCUAUGGAACAAUGUAAGCCAGAAUGAAAAUCUAUCGUACAUAUUUGAUGAUAUAACGCCAAUAAAGGCAUGUGGCGAUGUGGGUUAUCAUGCUACAAAUAGUGGUACUUUGUUGACACACUUUGCUUAUCAAGCGAUAAUUAGAAAUGACAAAAAUAAUACUUUUGAUAUUUGUCCUUCAAAAUUUUAAGUGCAAUUUGAAGAACACAUGUCCAAUUCCAGGAAAUAAAUUAUUAAAAAUACAAAGAAUGUGAAGAUACGCAAACCGAGUUCUUCUCAAGUACAGAGGUGGAGAAUGCUACAGUUUGACACUGAGGUUUUAAAAAUUCCCUAUUGCAAUGAAGAGAUGCGACCCACAUUCCUAAAAAUAAAGGUUAUAUUAUUCUGUCAACUCAAUUUAAUUCUGAAAAUAGUCAUAUCUAAUCAUUUAAUUACCUUGUCAUAUGCAACUUAUAAUGAUAUCUUAUUAUGUUACCAAAUUUAAUGUUGGUUUUGUUGUGUUAUGAAUAUUGUACUACCUCACUGCACGGGUGGGUCUACAUAUUAUAGAGUUAUAGUCAUUACGCGUUAGACAGGGGCCAGAGGUGGAGAUUAUUUUCGCGAUAGUUUGCUUCUUCACUUUAGGUGGAUAAUGCUCUUUCAGUGAACCUUCGCCAACAUGAUAAUUUGGUUGAAGAUUUAUUUAUCCUUUAUG
rnacentral:lncRNA from 1 species